GCACCCUAGUAAAUAUAUAAUAUUCUCUUAAUUAUAAAUAAACAUAAAAAAUUGGUUUUAAACAAAUAGUCGAUGAGCGCACCAAUCCUACAGCGGGAUCUCGUACUAUCAGGCUUUCACACAAGCGAACAUUCAGGCAGGUUUCAGCAAAACUGGUAUUUAUCCUUUUAAACGUAAUUUAUUCCAGGAUAUUGACUUUUCGCCAUCUUUUGUAACGGACAGACCAAACCCUGACACCAUUCCUACAACACCAUCUAGUAAUACUAACGCACAAACCCCUGAUUCUUUAGAUAACAAUCCUGAACUCAACAAUAAAGUUCUGCCACCUUCUGAUUCUUUACUAGGGCAAUCUUCGACUCCAAUCAUAAAUGAAAUUCAGCCAGCAUCUACUUCAACCACGUCACCUUUGCUUAUGCCUGAAAUUGACUGUGUACAAGAGACUGAUUUAAGAACAGCCACUCCGCCUGUUUUUUCACCUGAAGUUGUUCGCCCUUUUUCGAAAGCUGUUUGCCUCUUGUUUUUCUUUGAGCACAAAGAAAAACAAGAGGCACUAGGACAAAAAAGUCAACAAUUUACACAGACACUCCCGAGAAAGAGGCAGUUAAAAAAAAACACGAAAAAAAGAAAAACGUUUGAAGGCUAAGCAAGUAAAGAGAAACUUAGGUGAAGUAAAGCAAAAUAAGAUAGGGAAAGGAAAAGGCAAAGAAAAAGUCAGUGCCAACAGAAGAAAGACUUCAGAAUCGUCAUCCGAUGAAGAAGAAUAUUUCUGUCUGGUUUGUGUUAGCGCAUAUUCUGAAAGUAGGGUUGGCGAAAAAUGGAUCAAGUGCCAAGGCACAUGUGGACUCUGGGCCCACGUAGAGUGCGCUGGUGAUAAUCACUAUUACAUUUGUCACAACUGUGAUGAUAAGUCUGACUAGAUGUCAGUUUGUUCAUAUAUUCAUAAAUGUUUAUUUUUUUAAUAGGAAAUCUAUUAGUUACAUUUUAGUAAAAAAAAAGUUGUAUUAUGUUACAUAUUUCUAACAAUAAAAGUAAUUAUAAACCAUUUCUGCGUAUGUUUAUAUUUGUCACUACUGACCCCAACCACUGUCUCAACCGUCCUUGGGCUGUGGUCGGUUGUGACACUUUCUCUUUUUUUUUAAAGUAGGUGCUAUAAUUAAUACAGCGUAUUAAGGUAUAACAUUUUGGUAUUUUUACGUAGACAAAAGUACAAAUUAAGAUUUAAAUUACUUUUCUUGCAGCUAAAUAGUAAAUUAACUAAAUUAUUGGGACUCAAAUCAAAAUUGUCACAACCGUACCCAGUCUACCCUACCGUGUGGGUAGUGCAAACGUGUAUUGGUGUGUCUCGUGAUUUUUUUUCUUAAAUUAAAUAGUAUUUCGGUUUAAACAUUAUAACUUACAGUUUCAGUGAUGAACUAGUGUCCCACCACACAUCAAUCGCUAUUUUUUUCUCAAUAAUAUCCUUUAUUUAACUAUAAUAAACUUAAAGUUGGAAAUCACUUCUUCAAGUACCUUCAAUUUAACUUGUAUUAAUUUUUCACUUUCACCUUAUUAUGGAGGAUCUUAAAUAGUCAUUAAGGGAUGUAUCCGAAAUGGUGUCUACCAGAAUGGAAGAGUUUCAGCAGCGCCUUAUUGCAACUCAGAAUAUGUCCCCCUCACUAGAACAAACUCCACUUGCUAGGGAAUUCGAAGCAUUAAAAAAUUCUGUUUUAUUCUGCCUAGAGAAUCUCCAAGCUCAGAUGGCGAUUCUAUUUAGAGUGCAGGAUGAACAGGAGAUGCGCAGUAGGCGAAAGUGUCUGUUGCUGCAUGGAGUAAAUGAAGCAAAGGAUGAAAUCCAGGGCUCCAUUGCAAAUAUGAUAUCCAUACUCUUAAAGUGUCCUAAUGUGACGGAGCAGUGCCUCUCCCGUUGCCAUCGAGUGGGAUUAAGAUCCAAUGACAUGCCUAGGCCUAUAUUAAUAAAGUUUCGUGAGCAUGCUGACAAGUUAAGGAUCUGGGCUGCCAAAACUAAUCUUAAAGGCACUGAAAUAACCUUGUCUGAGAUCCUGACAAAAUUAAGGUACUCGCUAUUUAAGGAGGCAAGAAAGCGGUUUGGCGUCUCGAAUUGUUGGACUCGCGAUGGACGUGUACAAGUGAUAGUUGCUGAUGGGAAACUUCGCCGCAUCUCUUCGCUGAAGUAACUCGAUUCAGUUCCGGACAGCAUACCGUCAUCGACCGCAGCUGAUGAUGCAAAGCUGACAAGAGACAAGACCCGUAAUAAGAAGGCUCCAAAAAAGGGUCAAUAACUUCCGUUUGUACAGUGUUGGUGUUUCGUGUGUUGAAAUGAUGUGUUGAAACGCGACACACGUCCUGCGUGGGCCACUUCACGCUUGUUUUCAGUGGGAGAGUGGUAUUACCCCGAUCGUGUCGGCUCAUUCGGCUGCUUAUGCAGCAUGCCACUCCCACUACUUGGACUAACUGACUGCGCUGGUGGAAAUAGUUAUUGUUCAAAUAUCCCACCAGAGGGCGAUGGGGUCGUCACUGCCCUACGCCUUAAAAAUAUCCCUUAGUCACCUUUUACGACACCCACGGAUAGAGAUGGGGAGGUGCUAUUCUAUAAGCCGGCACAACACGGCAACUUAUAGCAUUUUAUAACCUUGACAUUUCACGUAUGAUUAGUGGAUAUUAAUGUUCUUAGUAGACUGAUUCUUCUGAUGAAUCCGCUGUCAUCAAAUAAUUUCCGUAGUUUCUGCCACAAAUCCUUGACUUUAGUUUCAAUUUUUAUAUGAACAUACAACUUGGGAUCAAUCGUCAUAAUGAGUUUUGCUUCGCUUUUCUGUCUUCUGCAUCACUUAAAUCCUCAGGAAUCGCGUCGAUGUCUAUACCUUACAAGAUGAGAAAAUUUCUUGCCGCGACCGCCCAGUCAUCAAUGUUCUCGCGUCCCUUCAACUUCGGCACAUUUAUUAAAUAACCGCCUGACGACGACAUUAUAACUUAUUUUCUGACACACUAUAUGAAUUUACUGUAAGAUUAUUUAAUUAGUUUUUCACUGUCAAAUGAUGGAGGGGCUUUUGGUUGCUCCUCCCUGAGCCUGUGCUACGUCCUCCGCUGGCGGCAUCGGCCCGUGGUCCGAGAGCCCCCGAGUGUUUUGUGGACGGGGGCCCAGAAUUUCACAGGGCCCCAGGGCUCAAGCACCCGUGAGGGUUCGUUGGGGGGUCGGGGCACGGUGGCUCCGAAUGUGGUGGGGACCCAGGGCCCCGAAGAUUUUGAGGGGAGCAGAGUCCCGGAGGCCCCAGGUCUUUCGGGGCCCCGGGGCUCUGGGGGUCCUAGUGACGGAUGCUGGGCGACCGUCAGCAAAAAGAAGAAGGGAAAGGGUAAGAAGAGUGGUUCACCCGCUGUGCCGGUCCUUCCCCCUGUGAGUGGGGGAAGUGGCCGUGUGGGCCGGACAGAGGACAAUGGAGUGGGUCACGGCGCAGGGCCCUCGGCUGGGCGAGUGGCUGUCGAAAAGAGGUCUGUCAGGGUGCAGCCUUUGCUUACUCCGCCGAAAACUGCCGCAGUGGUCAUCACAUUGCGGAGAGAGGCGGGGGGUCAUCUAUGCGGAUGUGCUGAUCAAGGCCAGGAAUGGUAUAAGCCUGCCUGAGCUUGGUAUUGCCACUAUCAGCAUCCGGCUAACGUCGGGAGCUCGGAUGCUGGAGGUGCCGGGGGUUGACAGGGAGGAGAAGGCUGAUGCCCUGGCAGAUAGGCUUCGUGUGGUGCUGUCAGGGGAGGUCUUGGUGGGGAGGCCCGUCAAAUGUGCGGACCUCCUUAUUCGGGACCUUGACGACAGCGUCACUGAGAGGAAUGUCACAGAGGCGGUGGCUGCCAUGGGUGGGUGCCUGGCCGCAGCGAUCAAGCCGGGUACGAUUUUGAGGCGUGGGAUACGGGGCUUGGGGGAGAUGUUCCUCCUGUGUCCGGUCGCCGCCGCCGAGAAAGUGAGCAAAGGGAAGCUCCUCAUUGGGUAGAGCUCCUGUAGGGUUGAAAUCCGAGAGGACCGCCCUUUGAGGUGCUACAAGUGCCAGAAGUUGGGUCACGUGCGAGCCACCUGUGACUCAACGAUGGACUUCGCGGAGGCGUGCUUUCGGUGUGGGGUUGAUGGCCACAAGGCCUAUGAAUGCAGCUCGAAAGAGCUGCAUUGCGCAUUUUCGCUUGCAUCUGCUCAACGGCUGGAAAGCCAGCAGGCCAUAAGAUGGCGGGAAGGGCCUGCAACCCUCCGAAAGUGACGAAGGGCCCAGGUGCCCCAAGGACUGGGACAACUGUGGGGAACACUCCCAUGGAGGUUGGUGUGGUACAACCAUCAUAGCUAUACCAGCCUCCUAGGGGGGACCAUGAGACGCCGUGCCGCGCCUCAGGGGUUGUGACUGCACACCCUGGCCGAAUGUGCCACUUGGUUGAGGCAACACUGUCUCGACCUGGUGUCGGUCGUUUGGACGGACCUCUCGCUGCCGAGUAAUGUUGCAGCAAUAUUAGGUAGCCAGGAGACAUGGCGAUCGGUGGCUUUCUUUUGCGAGCGCAUUUUGCCGCAAGGGAGGGCUGCCGAGCGUCAGCGGGAGGUGCGUUGAAACGAUCGGAGGGGUUGUGCUUGGCGAACCCCUCCGAAAGGGUGGGUAGGCGCAGGGUGGGCCCAAUAUACGCAUAGUUGCGUGGGUCCAACUGCGUCCCACUGCCUCGUCGCCAGGCCCUUAUGCGGACAUACCCGCCUGAGCUUUCUGGGUUGAAUGCCUAGUGCGACCCCCGGGGAGCUCAAUGCGGUGCCGGACGGCAUCCAUUCAGAAUUGGUGUGUAGUCUGGUACCGCAGGCGGUAUGGAGGGUUCAGGAGGUGGGUCGGCCACGAAUCAGUGCCGCUCCGCUUCUAAAAAUCACAAAAAUCGUACUUUUUACGCGAAACAAACAAAUAUAUCAUCAGAUGCGUCUCGCAACAAAAAAAAAAUUGAAAAUCAGUGCUAAAAAAAGUGAAAAAACACCAAAAACGGAAGAAACUUAGUGAAAAAGUGCUGCAUCUUUUAAGACUACUUUUAAAUUUUUAUCGCCAAGAAGUCGCAAGAUAUUGGGAAAAUAAACAAACACCACGUGGCACGUGGUCCCAGUUUGGAGUACAACCUGGACAUACCAAUAUCACCACCUGAAGCGCCGAAAAAAAGUUGAAUAAGAAGGAGGGCUUAGAUUUGUGUUUCAUCAGCGGGAAAAAAUAUUACAGGUGUAAAACCGUCUAUAAACAAGGUUAAACACCUUUAAACAAGAAUAAAAAGAAAACAAGAUAGAGGGCCCCACUUUUUCUCUACAUCAUUGGAAGCGCCGCGCGGAGAUCUAUUUAAAGGUACCAAUCUCAGAUUUCCUUAAAAACUGAAGCUCCUGGAAACUAUUUUCUCUUGACCACGUGGCACGUGGUCGGAGAAUCCGCCAGUAUUUUGCGCCGCGGAUAGGCUCACGGGAUAAAUAUCUAGUCUUUUUGACCAAUAUUGGCGGCUCCAGGAGCCUGGGAAGAAAAAGGGAAAAAGUGCGGGAUAACUCGGGAACGGUUAACAACCCCACGUGUGCCCCACCCCAAUACUCAAAAGUUUUUUCCCUUCCUCAUCCAUCCAAAAUUCAAAUUAUAGGGGCUACCGACCAAAUCCCAUCCUGAAAAUUUGUCUAUCGGAAGGUCUUUCCCUCCCACCGUGAUAAAAUUCCCCCCUCCCCCCUCGAGUUGAGUAAUAAACGACUUGGCUCGAAGAGGUGAAUCCACCUGACCAAAAACAGCCCCCUUACCCCACCGCAAAUAAAUAAAGUACCUACCUGACGGGUUUAACACUAGGAUAAAUCUUCUUAAUUAUAAUAAUAGCACAUUCUCUUAGCUACCUUUUAGCUAUUGGUAGGAGAAUUUCUAAUACUACUAGUAUUUUUACAGCUGAAGGAAGCUGUUGCUAUUUUAAAUGCUAUGAAAUAUAUUAAAAAUUGUUAUUCGGAACAUAAAUAUUGGAUCAUAGUAAGUGAUAGUAUGCGUGUUUUAAAAAACUUGGCUAAUAAUAAUUAUAUAAUUUAUCAGAUAAAAGAACUGAGGGGUACAAAAGCAAAGCCGCCACUGUCUAUAUUUGUUCAAAACUAAAGUACAAAUGCCAUCUUGUAGAUUUUUUGUAAACUAUUGUUACAGUUGCUUUAUAGUAUUAACAGACGAUCGAACUUGGUACGGGCCCGACAGCGGAUUCCGUACGCUCCAUACCAUAUCCGUUCGUCUGGAGAGUUGUCUGCCGAACAUUAUUAUUAUUAUUUCGUGUUCGCUCGGUCCGAUGGUUUGCACAUCGAAUUUGGUCCGCUCCGUACCAAAUCCGCGAGUCUGUACGCUCGGACCGGACAAACGCACGGCAGUCACGUUUGAAACAUUCUGGAGGUAGCACGUGCGUCAGCGCAUGUUCGCACUAUGGCGGAGAUUUUAACAGAACGCGAAGUCCUUGUCGAUGUUUUGGCACUGUGUAAAGAUUUUCCGUGCUUGUGGGAUACAAUCACACGAAUUGUAUUGCAACAGAGAUGCUCGUAAUCAAGCUCUACAGAUUCUUCGGGAUUGUCAUUCAAGGUUUGAUAGAAGUAUCACUGUAAAUGAUGUGAAAAAGAAAAUAGAGAAUAUGAGAGCCGCGUACAGACGAGAGAGGAAAAAGGUAGAGAAGAGUAAAUCUAGUGGUGCCGGGACAGAAGACAUUUACACACCAUCCUUGUGGUAUUAUCAAUAUUUUAGGUUUUUACACGAAAAACAGAAUCCAGCGGUACAAGGAGUAGACAAUACCACCACCUGUUAAACAAUGUUUAAAAUGUACUCUGCAAAAAUGCCCCCGAGUCAGCCUCGCUGUAAUCAUGAUGCCGAAAACAAACAAUUUAAGUGUUGCAAAUUAACGAUGUUGGAUAUACAUAAAUUCCAUGAAGAAUUUUAUAGGUCAAAGAAUAAAAAGGACCAGGAUGCAUUUUUAUUAAAACACUGCCGUGUGUCAAAGGUCAAGAGACGCCGGCCAAGAGUUGGACAACUGCUUUGGGCGGUAUCUGCAUAAGGUGCCUAGAAGGGAGAUGCAUCCGUUGUGCCACCAUUGCGGCGCUCCAAAUGACACGGCGGAGCAUACUGUGGCUGAGUGUGUCACCUGGACAAGGGAGCGUCAUGACCUGGUAUCGGUCAUAGGGUCGGACCUCUCUUUACCGGGUAAUAUUUUAGCUAUGCUAGGAAGUGAGGAGGCCUGGAGUGCAAUAGUCACCUUCUGUGAGCAUGUAAUGCUGCAGAAGGAGGCAGCUGAGCGAUUGAGGGAGAGGUCUGGGGAUGACCGUAGACUGAUCGGUAGUUCAAGGCUGGGGGCUCGACCUCGAGUGGCCUGGAACCGCUGGCCUUGAAAGUGAAUAAUGUUGUUAUAUUACGAUUAUAUUUUUCAAUUUCAUUAUUUUUUCCUUGCUUUAAGGUACACCUUAAAAAUACAUUUUGUAUCCAUUGUAAGUGUAAACAUUAUGCGGGUAUAUCAUAAACUCUUUUGCUUGAUUUAUAAUUUGAUACAUUUACGUCUAUAGUUAUUUUGGGCUGGCGAUCUGAGUGAGUUGUUGCCCCACAUAUUUUUAUGGUGCCACUGGCGGUAUUGUUUUGUACCGGGUUGUGCAGCUCCCUCAAAAAUGGUUGAGCUGCAUGAGCUAUUCGGGGCAUGCUUGCCGUCUGCUGGCACAGGCUUGCUCAGAUCGAUCUGGUUCUUUCUUCCAAAGACCAGUCCAGUAAAUACUCUGCAUUUGUUUACACCAAUUUAUUAAUUUAUUAUUGUAUUAUCUGGACUAUAAAAGAGACUAAGACCCCCGAGUUUGUUUCGACAUUUCUUCUCAGGGCAGUCAGUUAGGAAAUGUCGACUUCAUCUAGUUUAGGAAGACAUUGUAAAAGUGAUUUAUAUAGUCCUACUUGCAAGAAUAAACUAUUUCAUUUCAUUUCAUUACUAAAAAAACAUUGUGGCGAGAAUUGGAAGUCUAGGGAUGAUUUAGAUUUUUACAAACAGGUGAUCUUACGAGCAGAAAAUGAGAGCAAUGAAACUGAAGAGGGUGAAGAAGUCUGUGAAGUUGCAGUGCCGGAAUCUGACUUACGAAUUUAACUACAAUAACUUAGUAAAACGUGAUUUAUCGGACUUACGCAUAAAUAUAAACAUAAUUUGUUACAUUGCACUUUUUGUUAAUUAUAGUGACUUUUUACUCUUA